rnacentral:rRNA from 1 species
GCACAUUAUUUUUCGAAAUAACUUUACAAUUAUUCUCUUUUACUUCCAAUAUGACAUGAAAAAGUUGAAAAGGUUAAAAGUUAAAGGUGAGAGGACUAAAUCCUGAUAUCCGAAGCGACUAACCCAGAUACUAUACACUCUAAAGACCUUGUUGGUGGCUAUAGGCUCGGUGUUCACCUCUUCCCAUCCCGAACAGAGAAGUUAAGCCCGAGACCGCCGAUGAUACUUGGAUCACACCUGGUAAAGUAGGUAGCCGCCACAA